rnacentral:tRNA from 1 species
UGAGCAUGUAGCUCAGUGGAUAGAGCAUCAGAUUCCGAUUCUGGCGGUCGAAGGUUCAAAUCCUUCCCUGCUCAU